AUGCAAGUCGAGCGGACUUAUUCGGGCAACUGGAUAAGUUAGCGGCGAACUGGUGAGUAACACGUAGGUAAUCUGCCGUAGAGUGGGGGAUAACCCAUGGAAACAUGGACUAAUACCGCAUAUACUCUUGACACAUAAGUGUAGUAGAGGAAAGGAGCAAUCCGCUUUACGAUGAGCCUGCGGCCUAUUAGCCUGUUGGUGAGGUAAAAGCUUACCAAAGCUACGAUAGGUAGCCGACCUGAGAGGGUGACCGGCCACAUUGGGACUGAGAUACGGCCCAGACUCCUACGGGAGGCAGCAGCUGAGAAUCUUCCACAAUGGACGAAAGUCUGAUGGAGCGACAUCGCGUGAGGGAUGAAUGCCUUCGGGUUGUAAACCUCGGAAAUUAUCGAAGAAUGAGUGACAGUAGAUAAUGUAAGCCUCGGCUAACUACGUGCCAGCAGCCGCGGUAAUACGUAGGAGGCAAACGUUGCUCGGAUUUACUGGGCGUAAAGGGUGAGUAGGCGGAACUAUAAGUCUAAGGUGAAAGACCGAAGCCUAACUUCGGGAACGCCUCGGAUACUGUGGUUCUUGGAUAUUGUAGGGGAUGAUGGAAUUCUCGGUGUAGCGGUGGAAUGUGCAGAUAUCGAGAGGAACACCUAUAGCGAAGGCAGUCAUCUGGGCAUUUAUCGACGCUGAAUCACGAAAGCUGGGGGAGCAAACAGGCUUAGAUACCCUGGUAGUCCCAGCCGUAAACGUUGCACACUAGGUGCUCCUAUGAUAGUAGGCGUGCCGUAGCUAACGUAUUAAGUGUGCCGCCUGAGGAGUAUGCCCGCAAGGGUGAAACUCAAAGAAAUUGACGGGUCCCCGCACAAGUGGUGGAGCAUGUGGUUUAAUUCGAUGAUACGCGAAAAACCUUACCUGGGUUUGAAUUGU
rnacentral:rRNA from 1 species